rnacentral:rRNA from 1 species
UAGGGAAUCUUCCACAAUGGGCGCAAGCCUGAUGGAGCAACACCGCGUGAGUGAAGAAGGGUUUCGGCUCGUAAAGCUCUGUUGUUAAAGAAGAACACGUAUGAGAGUAACUGUUCAUACAUUGACGGUAUUUAACCAGAAAGUCACGGCUAACUACGUGCCAG